UUAAAUUCCAUUAUGCAGCUCCAAGGUUUGGGACUCCUGAGUGGCAAAAACUGAUAGAUGAGGUAGAACAAUUCUUAUUGUUUUCUCCCUAGUGCAGUGUUCUGUAAUAUUAGGCAUAUUUUGGAGAUUAAGGAGAGACUUUACAACUAUCACAAAUAGGUGCUGAGCUUUCAUAUGGUAAAGUGGUUGAAACAAAAGUUUUCGAACAUUGAAAAGGAAGAAUAGCAAUACCAGAAACAAUCUAUCCUGGCAGAGUCUGAAUUGUAUUGCUCUCACGUCUGUGGAAUAAUUAUGUUAACAGUUUCUACUUAGUGUUAGUGUGUAUAUCACUGUAUAAAACUGAGAUUGAGACAAGUGUAUUCACUCAACUAUAUUGAUAUGUUAGUUGGUUACUUUAAUCACAACUUAUCUUAAUUGUUGAUUA